UACAGAGGUCUCAGCGUUGUUCGGAUUCAUUGGGCGUAAAGCGUGUGCAGGUGGUUUUGUAAGUUGGAUGUGAAAGCCCCGGGCUUAACCUGGGAAGUGCAUUCAAAACUACAAAACUUGAGUAUGGAAGAGGGUCGUGGAAUUCCUGGUGUAGUGGUGAAAUACGUAGAUAUCAGGAGGAACACCGGUGGCGAAGGCGGCGACCUGGUCCUAUACUGACACUCAUACACGAAAGCGUGGGGAUCAAACAGG
rnacentral:rRNA from 1 species